UACGUAGGGGGCUAGCGUUGUCCGGAAUCAUUGGGCGUAAAGCGCGUGUAGGCGGUCCGGUAAGUCCGCUGUGAAAGUCGGGGGCUCAACCCUCGGAUGCCGGUGGAUACUGUCGGGCUUGAGUACGGAAGAGGCGAGUGGAAUUCCUGGUGUAGCGGUGAAAUGCGCAGAGUAUCAGGAGGAACACCAAUUGCGAAGGCAGCUCGCUGGGACGUUACUGACGCUGAGACGCGAAGCGUGGGGAGCAAACAGG
rnacentral:rRNA from 1 species